UACGGAAGGCAGCAGUGGGGAAUAUUGCACAAUGGGCGCAAGCCUGAUGCAGCCAUGCCGCGUGUAUGAAGAAGGCCUUCGGGUUGUAAAGUACUUUCAGUCGUGAGGAAGGUGUUAAGGUUAAUAACCUUAGCAAUUGACGUUAGCGACAGAAGAAGCACCGGCUAACUCCGUGCCAGCAGCCGCGGUAAUACGGAGGGUGCGAGCGUUAAUCGGAAUUACUGGGCUAAAGGGCACGCAGGCGGUUAAUUAAGUUGGAUGUGAAAUCCCCGGGCUUAACCUGGGAAUGGCAUUCAAGACUGGUUAGCUAGAGUCUUGUAGAGGGGGUAGAAUUCCAUGUGUAGCGGUGAAAUGCGUAGAGAUGUGGAGGAAUACCGGUGGCGAAGGCGGCCCCUGGGACAAAGGACUGACGCUCAUGUGCGAAAGCGUGGGGAGCGAAACAGGGAUUAGAUACC
rnacentral:rRNA from 1 species